rnacentral:rRNA from 1 species
CGUUUUAUACUAGGAAGAAACCGACUACUACGUGUAGAGUUCUGACGGUACUGUAAGAAUAAGGAUCGGCUAACUCCGUGCCAGCAGCCGCGGUAAUACGGAGGAUCCAAGCGUUAUCCGGAAUCAUUGGGUUUAAAGGGUCCGUAGGUGGACAAUUAAGUCAGAGGUGAAAGUCUGCAGCUCAACUGUAGAAUUGCCUUUGAUACUGGUUGUCUUGAAUUAUUGUGAAGUAGUUAGAAUAUGGUAGUGUAGCGGUGAAAUGCAAUAGAUAUUACAUAGAAUACCAAUUGCGAAGGCAGAUUACUAACAAUAUAUUGACACUGAUGGACGAAAGCGUGGGGAGCGAACAGGAUUAGAUACCCUGGUAG